AAUGCCCUGCUGUGCUCGUGAUGCGGCAUUCAUCGUUUUGAGCCAACACUUUAAAAAAAGGGCUCUGUUCUUACGGGUGCAACGCGAUAGGCGUGAGCCAAGGCGAAGCUUACGAGGCAAAGCCCGUCCUGCGUUAGCAGGUUCAAAACCUCGUCGCACACGACAUGGCGGGGAGUUU
rnacentral:other from 1 species